AACGGCGCGCUUUCAAGGACGCGCAUUUAUUAUUUUUAAAUGGGCGGAAUGUAGUCACCGGACAAGAAGCGCAACAGCUGAUGAUACUGAACUGCAGCGUGCCGGUUAGAGCGGUUCUCGUUCUCGGGUCAAGAAGCGGUUGCAUCGGUUUUCGGAUCACCAGUAGGCCUACACUGAACCGAGAACCGUUUCUGUCGGACGCGUCCGAUUUGAGAACCGAGGAGCAUAUAAUAACAAACAAAUCGCAAUGGAUUAUGUAUAGUAAGUGGAUCAUGGUUUCUCCGCUGAUGACACCUAAUUUAUUUACUUUAUAGCUAUCUUCAAGACUUAAAUCCUCGUAUGCACAUUAUUGCUGUUACUGUAUUUGGGUGCGUUGCAAAACUUAAUUGUAAACUUUUCAUGAUUAUACGGAGCCCCGCACAUGACAUGCAAGAAAAAAUAAAUAAAUUGUGCGAACGAUUCCCUCAAUGUACUAAAACGUGCACACGACUAUUGCGUUCCCUCGAUUUACUAUUGCGUUCCCUCGAUUUGCUAAAUCGUAACUAAUCGAACGAAUUAGUAAAUCGUGCGCACAAUUUAUAAAUCGAGUGAACGAAAUAGUAAAUCGAGGGAACGCAAUAGCCCCUGCUAACACACGACGUAACAGUUACGUAACGUAUUGGUAAUUAUUGGUAAUUCCGUGACUUACCAAUUGACAACGUAACUACGACGUCGCAUGACUGUAAUUUUGUUACCAUCCCAUUACCAACUCACAACGUCGUCAGUACGUCCUUCCAACGUGACCAGAUAACCAAGAACGUCCCAGAUAGGUUCUCUAUUCGUUAUAUAUUGGUAACUUCAUGACUUACUGGCAACGUAACUACAACGUCGUAUAUACUGUAUCAGGAGGACAGCGCGUUUGUUUGAGGCACUUUUCACUUCAACUGUGUCUGACAGGAGAAUUAGCUUUUCUGAGCCUACUAGCCGUUGAGAGUUACCAUGGCAACCGCGGACACAUCAGCUGCUGGACAGGAGAGGACGCGUCUGACACUUUCUCUGUUUCUCGUCAGUUAUACCAAAGAAAAGUUCAACAACUGCGACAGAU
ensembl:lncRNA